rnacentral:rRNA from 1 species
UACGUAGGGUGCGAGCGUUGUCCGGAAUUAUUGGGCGUAAAGAGCUCGUAGGCGGUGUGUCACGUCGGCCGUGAAAACCUGGGGCUUAACUCUGGGCGUGCGGUCGAUACGGGCAUCACUAGAGUUCGGCAGGGGAGACUGGAAUUCCUGGUGUAGCGGUGAAAUGCGCAGAUAUCAGGAAGAACACCCGUGGCUAAGGCGGCUCUCUAGUACGGUACUGACGCUGAGACGCGAAAGCGUGGGGAGCAAACAGG